UACAGAGGUCCCAAGCGUUGUUCGGAUUCACUGGGCGUAAAGGGUGCGUAGGCGGUCGGGUAAGUCUGAUGUGAAAUCUCCAAGCUCAACUUGGAAAUGGCAUCGGAUACUAUUCGGCUCGAGGAAUGGAGGGGAGACUGGAAUACUUGGUGUAGCGGUGAAAUGCGUAGAUAUCAAGUGGAACACCAGUGGCGAAGGCGAGUCUCUGGACAUUUCCUGACGCUGAGGCACGAAAGCCAGGGGAGCAAACGGG
rnacentral:rRNA from 1 species